ACAUAUUUUCUUCUCGCGCUACUCAACGGCAGAUUCUAUUUUUUAGGGAAAAGGGUCCGCAUAUUCCAAUUUUGAGCAGCGGUUAUCACAAUAAGAAGAACUCAAGGUGAAUUAGAAAUUUAAUCUACAGCUCUAUUAUUGUUCAGAUUUCAAAGCUAUUGUAGAAUUCAAGUGAAUGAUAAUUCAGCCAUUGUCGUUCAGACUUCAGAGCUACUGCCGAUUUUCGGUAAGGUGUUUCUCUAGUAUUAGUCACUCUUAAUCUUGUUUAUUCAUUUCUCUGUUGGUGAUUUGUGUUUAUCAUUACAUCUCACUUGAGUGGGGUUUUUUUUUUAAUAAUUAUAGGGACCGUGAAUUCUAUGACUAUGAGGAGCAAGGUACAAAAGGGCUCAAUUAAUUUAAGUUUUAUGUGAACUUCACAUUGAAUGUGUAGACUACAAAUUUAUGAUUGAAUUUGAAGAACCCGUUACUUGGUUUCAUGAAUCAAUUAAGGUUAUAUGCGAGUAAAGAUCUUCAAGGAUUAUACAUGAAUUAUGUGUUUGCCAUGAACCUGUUAUGCUAGUUGUCUCGUUUCUUCUUUAAUUGUUGGUUAUUGAAAAUAAAAUAAGGAGAACCCAGUUGAUUUUCCAUGAUAUUUGAUUAUUCCAUGAUAUUUUGGUAAGCGUAUCAGUGGUAGCAGACGGUUCCUUUAAGCGACAGUUAAGUGUUGCCGAACACUUAAUUGGACCAGGCAACACCAUUUUUUUUUUAUGUGUCAAGAGGCUAAUCAGAAGAAGGGAAGUAAAUUGAAUUGUUUCUGGAAAGUUUAUGCAUAUUAAUUAGUAUUAAACUAAAGAUAUUUGUUGGUUGUUUUUUGGCAGGGGAUUUGCAAUUUGAAUUCUUCCUCUCUUGAUAGGAGUGUUUAGAGCAAAGUUAGCUUCUUCUUGAGAAUCGUUUACUUUUCUUGGAGGAUUCACGAGCCCUUUCAUAUUCGCUUCAUUAUUCACGUUCGUUGAAAAUGUUCAAGAAACAAUUGGUAUCAAAGCAAGGCGCAAAACUUGUGAGUUUCACUAUUCUUAUUAAUAUCUAAACUUGCAUAAAUUCUAGUAUUAGUUAGAUACUUUUCCCUUUCUGUUUGGGAAGAAGUAUUGCUUUUGAUUAGAUGUGGUUAUAAGGGUGGAUCCAAAUUAUUGAAAGCAGAUUAUACUUGAUUGCUUAAUGCCUAAUUAUUAAACGUGAAUAUUGUAAUAGUUUUAGUACUCUUAAGUUGUAGUAUUCAAAAAAUUUAGGCUCAUAUUUAUCUGUUUGAUUGUCUUAUUGUAUUAUUCUCUUUGUUGACUUCUAAUGACUUUCUGAUUUUGUUGUUAAGUAAUGAUUUGAUUUUGUGGAUUGGUGUGAGGUAACUUCACAUAUAUAACAUAUUCUGAUGUUCUUCUGAAGGUAAAUUUAUAAUUAUUGUUCAUGUUGUCACCUUAUCAAAACUUCAUAAAUAUUUUAGAGUCUUGACACUUUUACUUAUUAGAUUUGAAUUGAUUGAUGGAUGCAGUGAAGUGGGUACUAAUAGAAUGCACAAGAAAUGAAUUUUGGAGGUGUAUAAAGCAGAACUACUUACAGCUAUGAAAGAACACCCAUUUAUCAAUUACUUUUAGGAGCAUUAUACUUGUAUCUUAAUUAUAGUUUGUCAUUUUUUAAUACUUUUUGUAAGGUUGAUGCUACUCCAAAGGAAUAAGCUUAUAGAUUUUGUAUAUGUUUUCCUUGUUUCUUGA